GACUCCUUUAAGAAAGCCCACCCCAAUCCCCACCACCGCCAAGGUCUUUACCAAGAGACCAUGAUCCCUACACUUCUCCAUCAGAUUGUGGAAAAGUGCCAGUGAUAUUGAAGCGAGAAGGCUUGUGUUAUAGAAGAAUUCACACACACACACACACGCAGAGCAAUUAUAUGUAUUAUAGCAGAGAGAUGAAGCAGUAAUAUAUGUAAUUUGGCGUCUAGAUUUGAUUUAAUUUGUUGUCCUUUAAUCUGUUUGCUUCCAUAAAUAUAAUGAUAAUUAGACCA